AGUACUCCUUUUCUUUUUGAAAACCAAAGGAAAAAACCCAACCCAACGCAUACUGAUACACUUCUUUAAAAGUCCACCUUAAAUUAACGGUAUUUUGUUGCAAUACUAAAUCAGGAUCCCUUUGAGCUUUUUGGGUACUUAAUCAAUUGCUUUGCCUGCUUAUGCCUAGUGCUGGCUCUCACAUCUCUGCAGCCAACCUUUGCCAUAGGGCAGGGUGAGUUCCCUUUAGAUGUGCCUUUUCUUUGUCCUAUGCAAUAAUUCCAUUCAGAUUUGGCUGUGAUAAGUCACCAUUUCCUCUCCUCUUUUGUGUUCCUCAGGGCAGUUUUGGCAGUCUGAUACAUAGGUGCUGGAACUAUGGGUGCUGGGGGUGCUCCCUCAUCCCCUGUCUUGAAAUGGUUUCCAUUAUAUACAGGGUUUACAGUUUGGUUCAAUGACUCUCUGCACCCCCACAAUAAAAAUUGUUCCAGCACCGCUGUUCUGAUGAAAUCACUGUUUCUAGACUGGGCUGAGGGCUCAUGCCACUACCAAAGCAGCAGCAGCAGAUGCUGCUUUGGGGUCACAGGGAGCUACCAAAGAAGCUGUAGCACACCUAGCAAUGGCAUCAGUGGUCCAGUUUCCCUCUCCCUCCAGUCCCCAGGGUGGCAGCUCCCCCAAAUUCCCUGGGUGUAUGGGGAAGGGAAGAGAGAGCAAAUCACAUCAGGGUGAGCUUCUUGCAACCAUUUCCCAGACCUAGCUGUAGCCCAUUCCACCUCCCCACCCAAAAACAGCCUUCUCCUGCUGACUACUAAUGUUAUUAGUCCUGUAGUUCAAGUAGUUCAGUAGUAACAAUCUGUCCUGCAAUGCUGAAGGUCCAGGCUUCAAAUGUCAGCAUUCCUAGUUCUAUCUUGUAAAAAUUAACUUCAGGUAUACUUUUAUUCAUUAUUAUUGAAAUGAAAUGUGCUUACUACUUCUAAUUUUUCCCCUAAUAAAUAUUUAAUGUGAAGUAAUAAACUGCUAGAAAGGUUGUUAGUCUUUCUUAAUAAUAAAUUGCAUUUUUGAUGAUACGUACAAUAAUUGAUUCUUAAAAUACUUUGUCAUAAAGGCCUACUAGAAAAAAUUAAAGUAAAAUAUGUCACGAUAAAACGUAAUCUCAUUCCCAUGACAUUUAGAAACAAACACAAUAUUUUUUGCCAUUUUCUCUAGAAUUAGUCUAAGAAACAUUAUUCUAAAAUUAAACAUGCAAGAGAGCUCAAAGGGAAAUUGAUAUUUUCCGUAUUUAGUUUAAUGAAAACAUAUUAAUAUGUGUGCUAUUCUUUCAAAUAUUUAUGUCAAUUUAUAAAGCACAUAUAGGUGCUAAACAACAGUUAAAAAAAAAUAAUGGCAGAAAUGAAUUGCCCAGACAGAACCAUGUAAAACAGAAGAAUAUCAUUGUGAUGGUUUGGGGGUUCACCCAGAUAAAGUAAGGGGCUCUCUCACUGCCUGCCCUGUAACCCUGGGUGUUUGUGUUGUGCAGCUUUGGCUCAGAGUCCUGAUACCAGCAGCCUGCUCUCAGCACAGUGGCCUCACCCUGGCUUUCACCAGCCUGGUUUCUCCUUGCAGGGUGACACCAACAACCCUUCCAAUCCUGAGCCUCCCCAAAACCAUCUCCCCUGCAAUAUCCAGUCUCUCUCACUAGAUAUUCACAGAAGUUAUGAAGUCCUCUGCCUGUUAGUUUAACUGACGAUCCACCCUUCAGUUUAAUACACAGCACUGAGAUGGUUUUGUAAUAAAACAAGUUGUUUUACAGAAUCUUGAAUAAGAACAUAAGAAUGGCCAUACUGGGACAGACCAAAGGCCCAUCUAGCCCCGUAUCUUGUCUUCCGACAGUGGCCAGGUGCCCCAGAGGGAAUGAACAGAACAGACCUUCAACGGGUGUUUGAUGGUGGUGCUGAUCUGGACAAAUAUCUACAAGCCACAUAUCCAGACAUGGAAAGCUAGUUCAUUACCAACCUGGUCCCUGAUCCAACAGAAAUAAUGAACACAUUUUCAUUCAUUCAGAAGGCAGGAAACAUUUAAGGAAUGGAUUUUGCUAUUACAGUGUUGACUGAUAACCAGGUAAAAAUAGAGUCACAUGGCCAAAUUCUGCCUUCAGUUAUGCCUGUGUGAGCACAUUGACCCCAGUGGAGUUACGUAGUUAUAGAUGCAGACAUCAAGGCUGCACUGCUGAAGAUGGUACCUGGAAACACAGCAGAUCUGGAUGAAGGCAUGGUGGAAAUGAUUAAAUCCUUGAAAGAGGUUGGAGUACGCUGGCUCAUGUGAGUCCUUUGCAGAGAUUGGAAAGAGAAGAAAAUCCCAAGACAAUGGAGAAAGUCCAUGCUAAUACUGCUAUACAAACCAAAAGGUGACAUGCAUAACUGUUCGAAGAACCGAGGAAUUAAGAUGCUGUUUCACAGCAUGAGACUGUUAGAGAGAAUCAUAAAUAGUUGCAUUCACUGAACAGUGAAGGCCAUUUUAGGAAAAGAGCAGCUUGGUUUUAGAAAAGGAAAAAAGAAAGCAGAUGGUAUGUCAUUGCUAGAUAGUUGGUGGAAAAGAAGCUGGAGGGAUACAUCAAGAAUGGUUGGGCUUUCCUUGAUUUGGAGAAAGCAUUUGACGGGUGAGACCAAGGUCUGUGGUAUCAGAGAGCAGCGAGAGGAGGCUGGGACGAUAUGGCCUUCUACAAAAGAUGGAUGAAGAGAAUCCUGUUCAGGAGGCAUUUGAGACUAGAGUUUGCAGGCAGAGACAAGAGGAUGGCCAAGAAAACAGUGGAUAGACUGUGUAUGGGAAGGCAGAAUACAUACAGAGUGAACAUUAGACUGGCAAGCCUGGAAAAGAUUGAUCCAUAGACCUGACUCUAGCUAACUGGGAAAAGGGAAAGAAGUGGCGUGUACUUUUCACUUCAUACUCUCCAUUAAUCUUAAUCACAUUUUUAUAAUGAAUGGAGACUAUACUUUGGCAUUGCCUGUAUAAAAAUAAAUUUUACAUUUGAGGCCAAAUUUUCAACGAGGAACCUAUAAUUAUACCUACAAAAUUUGUGCGUGCAAGUUAGAUGAAGGGGAAAAAAGUGUCCCUGUUGCACAUGCACUCACAUGAUUUCCUUCUACAAACUUAGGUUUUUAUGCUGACAAGUUUUUUUCAGAUCAUUAAUGCCAAUUGAAAAUUUGUCUUAUAUUGUAUGGAGGACGUCAUCUUCAAAAGCACCACUACUAAAGUUGUUCAGCACAGGAGUUGAUAGGACAAACCUCCCACACAUUUUUUAAAAUUAAAAUGUUAAGACUUAUGAGAUAUAACAAAAGAGUCUAUUUAUUGAACUGUUUAUUUUAUUGAAUGUACCAUUUAAAAUAUAAAAUAUUAACAUUUUAAUUUACUGUAUGCCUGUGAAAUUAUUGACACAGUAUGGUAAAACUUGUUACAAGUGUAAGCGUAACUUAAUAUGGUUGCAGAGACGUGCCAUGUCAUUACAGAGUGAUGGAAUCUAACUAUUUCAUAACAAAAUUUUAAUAUUUAGCACUUGUAUAUUGCUCUUUAUGAUGGUGAGUAAGCAUUAUUAUCCCCAUUGUAUACAGCGGAUACUGAGACACAGAUUAAGAUCACAUUUUCAGAAGUAAUUAGCAACUUUGGGCACCCAAAAACUGAGGUGCCCUACCUGAGGUGUUGAUUUUCAGAAGGUGUUGAUUUUUGAAGGUGUUCAUUUUCAGAAAGUUCACAGCACCCACCCUUGGAAAACCAGUAACCUUCAAGAUGUCUCAAGUUCAGCAUGUAAAAAAUGAGAGACAAAAAUAGAAGUAAAAAGCUUGGCUUUAGUGAUUUGCUGUCAUGACUGGGACAUGGGCAGUCUGACCUAGUGGUCAGACCAGGAGUCAGGCUGAAUCAGAUACCAGGAGUUCAGAAUCCAAGACAGGCCAGAGGGCAAACUGAGAGGCAGGUAGGGUAAGGUUACCAGAGGAGCAGGGGGAAGUAGUUCAAAUCAGAGAGGACCCAAUGGCAUGGACAACUUCCCAUUUCUAUGGUUGGUUUAAAUAGAAGCUAGGAGCCAAUCAGGACCUCUAUCAUUCUGUCAAUCACAUCCCAGGACUGGAGUCCUCAGUCAGAGUUCAGCUGCUCUUUUGACAAUUGUUAGCAGUUCACUGGGUGGUGGGUUGGAACAUACUAAUAUCUAAGAGCCCUAUGGACCAGUGUUUCAGAGCCGUGGUCCCUGAUGUUUGCUUAAGGUCCCACAGCAGACCAAUAGCACAGCCAGGAAUAGAACUAAGCUGUCUUGCAGCCUGCUUUCCAGAGACUCUCAAUACCUCUGGCUCCUCAUAACUUCAGCUGGAAUUUUGGGUUCUCGGCCCUUCUAAAAAAAUCAGCUUCUGACUCUGAGACCACUUUUCUGUCCAUAAAACUACGAUAGCAGUGUGUUUAAAAACAUUUACAAUAUUCCUUCACACAUAAGAAGUUUAUUUCAGACCUACCGCAGAGGACCCUACCUGUUUUGGCUAGUCGAUAACCCCGUGUGACCCACCCUACUUUAAGCUCUGAUUGUAAACAAAUUUUCACUAGAACUUCUAGAGUAUCAUUCACAUUACAUUUUCAGAGAUAAGAUACAUUUUAAAAAGAACUUCCCCAAAGCUCCCCAAAAUACAGUGUGACAGAUGAUGAAUAUGUAAAGUUAGA